UGAGAUUUGGGUGUUGGUUCAACUUAAAAGUUUGGCAUUUGUUGAACUUGAGUUUGUGUGUUUGUUGAACUUAAGUUUGUGUCUUGUUUGAACUUGAGUUUGUGGCGUUUUUGAACUUUAGGUUGUUGCAAUUGUGAAACUUGAGAUUUGGGUGUUGGUUGAACUUAAAAUUUUGACAUUUGUUGAACUUGAGUUUAUGGUGUUUGUUGAACUUUUGUUUGCGUCGUGUUUGAACUUGAGUUUAUGGUGUUUUUGAACUUGAGGUUGUGGUGUUUUUGAACUUGAGUUUGUGGCGUGUUUGAACUUGAGGUUGUUGCAAUUGUUAAAUUGAGAUUUUGGUGUUGGUUGAACUUAAAACUUUGACAUUUGUUGAACUUGAGUUUGAGCUGUUUGUUUAACUUUAGUUUGUGUCGUUUUUGAACUUGAGUUUGUUGUGUUUUUGAACUUGAGUUUUUGGAAAUUGUUAAACUUGAGAAUCGGGUGUUGGUUCAACUUGGGUUUCUGUUGUUUUUGAACUUGAGGUUAUGGAAAUUGUUAAACUUGAGAAUCAGGUGUUGGUUGAACUUGAGUUUGUGUGUUUGUUGAACUUGAGUUUGUGUCGUGUUUGAACUUGAGUUUGUGGUAUUUUUGAACUAGAGUUUGUGUGUUUGUUGAUCUUGAGGUUAUGGAAAUUGUUAAACCCAAAAAUUGGGUAUUGGUUGAACUUGAGUUUGUGUUGUUUUUGAACUUGAGUUUGUGUAGUGUUUGAACUUGAGUUUGUGGUGUUUUUUGAGCUUGAGGUUGUGGUGUUUUUGAGCUUGAGUUUGUGGUGUGUUUGAACUUGAGGUUGUGGAAAAACGUAAACUUGAGAUUUGGGUGUUGAUUGAACUUGAGUUUGUUUCGUGUUUGAUCUUGAGGUUGUGGUGUUUUUGAACUUGAGGUUUCUUGUUUGUUUAACUUGAGUUUGUGUGUUUGUUGAACUUGAGUUUGUGUUAUGUUUGAACUUGAGUUUGUGUCGUGUAUGAACUUGAGUUUGUGUCGUGUUUUUGAACUUGAGUUUUUGGUGUUUUUGAACUUGAGGGUGUGGAAUUUGUUAAACUUGAGAAUUGGGUAUUGGUUGAAUUUGAGUUUGUGUGUUUGUUGAACUUGAGUUUGUGUCAUGUUUGAACUUGAGUUUGUGGUGUUUUUGAACUUGAGUUUGUGUGUUUGUUGAACUUGAGUUGUGGCGUUUGUUGAACUCUAGGUUGUGGCAAUUGUUAAACUUGAGAUUUGGUUGUUGGUUGAACUUGAGUUUGUGUCGUGUUUGAACUUGAGUUCGUGUUGUUUGUUGAACUUGAAUUUGUGUGUUUUUUUAACUUAAAUUUUUUUAAGUUGAGUUUGUGGCAAUUGUUGAACUUGAGUCUGUGGUUUUUGGUGAACUUUAAUUGGUGGCAAUUGUUGAACUUGAGUUUGUGGUGUUUUUGAACUUGAGUUUGUUUCGUGUUUGCACUUUGUUUGUGGUGUUUUUGAACUUGAGUUUGUGGUGUUUUUGAACUUGAGUUUGUGGCGGUUGUUGAACUCUAGGUUGUGGCAAUUGUUGAACUUGAGAUUUGGGUGUUGGUUCAACUUAAAAGUUUGGCAUUUGUUAAACUUGAGUUUGUGUGUUUGUUGAACUUAAGUUUGUGUCUUGUUUGAACUUGAGUUUGUGGUGUUUUCAAACUUGAGUUUGUGUGUUUUUCGAACUAUAGUUUUUGGUGUCUUUGAACUUGAGUUAAUGGUGUUUUUGAACUUGAGUUUGAAUCGUGGUUGAACUCGAGUUUGUGGUGUUUUUGAACUUGAGUUUGUGGUGUUUUUGAACUUGAGGUGUUGGAAAUUGUGAAACUUGAGAAUUGGGCAUUGGUUGAACUUGAGUUUGUGUGUUUGUUGAACAAGAGAUUGUGUUGUGUUUUAACUUCAGUUUGUGGUGUUUUUUGAACUUGAGGUUGUGGUGUUUUUGAACUUGAGUUUGUGGUGUUUUGUACUUGAGUUUGUGUUAUUUUUCAACUUGAGGUUGUGGAACUUGUUAAACAUGAGAAUCAGGUGUUGAUUGAACUUGAGUAUUUGUUUUUUUUAACUUGAGUUUGUGUCGUGUUUGAGCUCGAGUUUGUGGUGGUUUUUGAAUUUGAGUUUGCGUGUUUGUUAAACUUGAGUUUGUGUUUUUUUUUUACUUGAGUUUGUUGUUUCUGAACUUGAGUUUGUGGCAAUUGUUGAACUUGAGUUUGACAUUUGUUGAACUUGGGUUUGUGGUUUUUGUUGAACUUGAGUUUGUGGUGUUUUUGAACUUGAGGUUGUGGAAUUUGUUAAACUUGAGAAUUGGGUAUUGGUUGAAAUUGAGUUUGUGUGUUUGUUGAACUUGAGUUUGUGUCGUGUUUGAACUUGAGUUUGUGGUGUUUUUGAACUUGAGGUUGUUAGAAAUUGUUAAACUUGAAAAUUUGGUAUUGGUUGAACUUGAGUUUGUGUGUUUGUUGAACUUGAGUUUGUGUCAUGUUUGAACUUCGGUUUGUGGUGUUUUUUGAGCUUGAGGUUGUGGUGUUUUUGAACUUGAGUUUGUGUUGCUUUUGAACUUUAGGUUGUGGCAAUUUCUAAAAUUGAGAUUUGGGUGUUGGUUGAACUUAAAAGUUUGUCAUUUGUUGAACUUGAGUCUGUUGUUUUUAGUGAACUUUUGUUGGUUGCAGUUGUUGAACUUGAGUUUAUGGCAUUUGUUGAACUUUGUUUGUGUCGUGUUUGAACUUCAGUUUGUGGUGUUUUUUGAACUUGAGGUUGUGGUUUUUUUGAACUUGAGUUUGUGGCGCUUUUUGAACUUGAGGUUGUGGCAAUUGUUGAACUUGAGUUUGUGACGUGUUUGAACUUGAUUUUGUGGUGUUUUUGAACUUGAGUUUGUGGUGUUUUUGAACUUGAGUUUGUGGUGUUUGUGGAAUUUGAGUUUGUGUCGUGUUUGAACUUGAGGUUGUGGUGUUUUUGAACUCGAGUUUUUGUGUUUGUUGAACUUGAGUUUGUGUCGUGUUUGAACUUGAGUUUGUGGUGUUUUUUGAACUUGUGGUUGUGGUGUUUUUGAACUUGAGUUUGUGGCGGUUUUUGAACUUGAGGUUGUUGCAAUUGUUAAACUUGAGAUUUGGGUGUUGGUUGAACUUAAAACUUUGCCAUUUGUUGAACUUGAGUUUGUGGUGUAUGUUGAACUCCAGCUUGUUUUGUGUUUGAACUUGAGGUUGUGGUAUUUUUGAAUUGAGUUUGUGGCGGUUUUUGAACUUGAGUUUAUGGCGUGUUUGAACUUGAGAUUGUGGCGUGUUUGAACUUGAGUUUGUGGUGGUUUUUGAACUUGAGGUUGUGAAAAUUGUUAAAACUUGAGAAUCAGGUGUUGGUUGAACUUGAGUUUGUGGUUUUUGUUGAACUUGAUUUUGUGCUUUGUUUGAACUUUAGUUCAUGGUUUUUUUUGUACUUGAGUUUGUGUUGUUUUUGAACUUGAGGUUGUGGAAAUUGUAAAAACUUGAAAAUCAGGUGUUGGUUGAACUUGAGUUUGUGGUUUUUGUUGAACUUGAGUUUGUGUCGUUUUUGAGCUUGAGGUUGUGGUGUUUUUGAACUUGAGUUUGCGUGUUUGUUGAACUUGAGUUUGUGUGUUUUUUUAACUUGAGUUUGUUGUUUCUGAAUUUGAGGUUGUGGCAAUUGUUGAACUUGAGUCUGUUGUUUUUAGUGAACUUUAGUUGGUGGCAAUUGUUGAACUUGAGUUUUUGGCAUUUCUUGAACUUCAGUUUGUGACGUGUUUAAACAUGAUUUAAUGAUGUUUUUGAACUCGAGUUUGUGGUGUUUUUGAACUUGAGGUUGUGGAAAUUGUUAAACUUGAGAAUUGGGUGUUGAUUGAACUUGAGUUUGUUUCGUGUUUGAUCUUGAGGUUGUGGUGUUUUUGAACUUGAGGUUUCUUGUUUGUUUAACUUGAGUUUGUGUGUUUUUUGAACUUGAGUUUGUUGUUUCUGAACUUGAGGUUUUGGCAAUUGAUGAAAUUGAGUCUGUGGUUUUUAGUGAACUUUUGUUGGUUGCAGUUGUUGAACUUGAGUUUAUGGCGUUUGUUGAACUUGAGUUUGUGACGUGUUUGAACUUGAGUUUGUGUUUUUGAACUUGAGGUUGUGGCAAUUUCUAAAAUUGAGAUUUGGGUGUUGGUUGAACUUAAAAGUUUGACAUUUGUUGAACUUCAGUUUGUGGUUUUUGUUGAACUUGAGUUUGUGUCGUGUUUGAUCUUGAGGUUGUGGUGUUUUGAACUCGAGUUUUUGUGUUUGUUGAACUUGAUGUUGUGGUGUUUUUUGAACUUCAGUUUGUGGAAAUUUUUAAACUUGAGGGUUGGGUGGUGGUUGAACUUGAGUUUGUGGUGUUUUUUGAACUUGAGGUUGUGGUGUUUUUGACUUGAGUUCGUGGCAUGUUUGAACUCGAGGUUGUUGCAAUUGUUAAACUUGAGAUUUGGGUGUUGGUUGAACUUAAAACUUUGCCAUUUGUUGAACUUGAGUUUGUGGUGUUUGUUGAACUCCAGCUUGUGUUGUGUUUGAACUUGGGGUGGGGUAUUUUUGAACUUGAGUUUGUGUGUUUUUUGAACUUGAGUUUGUGGCGUGUUUGAACUUGAGAUUGUGGCGUGUUUGAACUUGAGUUUGUGGUGGUUUUUGAACUUGAGGUUGUGAAAAUUGUUAAAACUUGAGAAUCAGGUGUUGGUUGAACUUGAGUUUGGGUAUUGGUUGAACUUGAUUUUGUGCUUUGUUUGAACUUUAGUUUAUGGUUUUUUUUGUACUUGAGUUUGUGUUGUUUUUAAACUUGAGGUUGUGAAAAUUGUAAAAACUUGAAAAUCAGGUGUUUUUGAACUUGAGUUUGUGGUGUUUUUGAACUUGAGGUGUUGGAAAUUGUGAAACUUGAGAAUUGGGCAUUGGUUGAACUUCAGUUUGUGGUGUUUUUUGAACUUGAGGUUGUGGUGUUUUUGAACUUGAGUUUGUGGUGUUUUGUACUUGAGUUUGUGUUAUUUUUCAACUUGAGGUUGUGGAACUUGUUAAACAUGAGAAUCAGGUGUUGAUUGAACUUGAGUAUUUGUUUUUUUUAACUUGAGUUUGUGUCGUGUUUGAGCUCGAGUUUGUGGUGGUUUUUGAAUUUGAGUUUGCGUGUUUGUUAAACUUGAGUUUGUGUUUUUUUUUUACUUGAGUUUGUUGUUUCUGAACUUGAGUUUGUGGCAAUUGUUGAACUUGAGUUUGACAUUUGUUGAACUUGGGUUUGUGGUUUUUGUUGAACUUGAGUUUGUGGUGUUUUUGAACUUGAGGUUGUGGAAUUUGUUAAACUUGAGAAUUGGGUAUUGGUUGAAAUUGAGUUUGUGUGUUUGUUGAACUUGAGUUUGUGUCGUGUUUGAACUUGAGUUUGUGGUGUUUUUGAACUUGAGGUUGUUAGAAAUUGUUAAACUUGAAAAUUUGGUAUUGGUUGAACUUGAGUUUGUGUGUUUGUUGAACUUGAGUUUGUGUCAUGUUUGAACUUCGGUUUGUGGUGUUUUUUGAGCUUGAGGUUGUGGUGUUUUUGAACUUGAGUUUGUGUUGCUUUUGAACUUUAGGUUGUGGCAAUUUCUAAAAUUGAGAUUUGGGUGUUGGUUGAACUUAAAAGUUUGUCAUUUGUUGAACUUGAGUCUGUUGUUUUUAGUGAACUUUCGUUGGUGGCAAUUGUUGAACUUGAGUUUGUGGCAUUUGUUAAACUUUGUUUGUGUCGUGUUUGAACUUCAGUUUGUGGUGUUUUUUGAACUUGAGGUUGUGGUUUUUUUGAACUUGAGUUUGUGGCGCUUUUUGAACUUGAGGUUGUGGCAAUUGUUGAACUUGAGUUUGUGACGUGUUUGAACUUGAUUUUGUGGUGUUUUUGAACUUGAGUUUGUGGUGUUUUUGAACUUGAGUUUGUGGUGUUUGUGGAAUUUGAGUUUGUGUCGUGUUUGAACUUGAGGUUGUGGUGUUUUUGAACUCGAGUUUUUGUGUAUGUUGAACUUGAGUUUGUGUCGUGUUUGAACUUGAGUUUGUGGUGUUUUUUGAACUUGAGGUUGUGGUGUUUUUGAACUUGAGUUUGUGGCGGUUUUUGAACUUGAGGUUGUUGCAAUUGUUAAACUUGAGAUUUGGGUGUUGGUUGAACUUAAAACUUUGCCAUUUGUUGAACUUGAGUUUGUGGUGUAUGUUGAACUCCAGCUUGUUUUGUGUUUGAACUUGAGGUUGUGGUAUUUUUGAAUUGAGUUUGUGGCGGUUUUUGAACUUGAGUUUAUGGCGUGUUUGAACUUGAGAUUGUGGCGUGUUUGAACUUGAGUUUGUGGUGGUUUUUGAACUUGAGGUUGUGAAAAUUGUUAAAACUUGAGAAUCAGGUGUUGGUUGAACUUGAGUUUGUGGUUUUUGUUGAACUUGAUUUUGUGCUUUGUUUGAACUUUAGUUCAUGGUUUUUUUUGUACUUGAGUUUGUGUUGUUUUUGAACUUGAGGUUGUGGAAAUUGUAAAAACUUGAAAAUCAGGUGUUGGUUGAACUUGAGUUUGUGGUUUUUGUUGAACUUGAGUUUGUGUCGUUUUUGAGCUUGAGGUUGUGGUGUUUUUGAACUUGAGUUUGCGUGUUUGUUGAACUUGAGUUUGUGUGUUUUUUUAACUUGAGUUUGUUGUUUCUGAAUUUGAGGUUGUGGCAAUUGUUGAACUUGAGUCUGUUGUUUUUAGUGAACUUUAGUUGGUGGCAAUUGUUGAACUUGAGUUUUUGGCAUUUCUUGAACUUCAGUUUGUGACGUGUUUAAACAUGAUUUAAUGAUGUUUUUGAACUCGAGUUUGUGGUGUUUUUGAACUUGAGGUUGUGGAAAUUGUUAAACUUGAGAAUUGGGUGUUGAUUGAACUUGAGUUUGUUUCGUGUUUGAUCUUGAGGUUGUGGUGUUUUUGAACUUGAGGUUGCUUGUUUGUUUAACUUGAGUUUGUGUGUUUUUUGAACUUGAGUUUGUUGUUUCUGAACUUGAGGUUGUGGCAAUUUCUAAAAUUGAGAUUUGGGUGUUGGUUGAACUUAAAAGUUUGACAUUUGUUGAACUUCAGUUUGUGGUUUUUGUUGAACUUGAGUUUGUGUCGUGUUUGAUCUUGAGGUUGUGGUGUUUUUUGAACUUCAGUUUGUGGAAAUUUUUAAACUUGAGGGUUGGGUGGUGGUUGAACUUGAGUUUAUGGCGUUUGUUGAACUUGAGUUUGUGACGUGUUUGAACUUGAGUUUGUGUUUUUGAACUUGAGGUUGUGGCAAUUUCUAAAAUUGAGAUUUGGGUGUUGGUUGAACUUAAAAGUUUGACAUUUGUUGAACUUCAGUUUGUGGUUUUUGUUGAACUUGAGUUUGUGUCGUGUUUGAUCUUGAGGUUGUGGUGUUUUGAACUCGAGUUUUUGUGUUUGUUGAACUUGAUGUUGUGGUGUUUUUUGAACUUCAGUUUGUGGAAAUUUUUAAACUUGAGGGUUGGGUGGUGGUUGAACUUGAGUUUGUGGUGUUUUUUGAACUUGAGGUUGUGGUGUUUUUGACUUGAGUUCGUGGCAUGUUUGAACUCGAGGUUGUUGCAAUUGUUAAACUUGAGAUUUGGGUGUUGGUUGAACUUAAAACUUUGCCAUUUGUUGAACUUGAGUUUGUGGUGUUUGUUGAACUCCAGCUUGUGUUGUGUUUGAACUUGAGGUUGUGGUAUUUUUGAACUUGAGUUUGUGUGUUUUUUGAACUUGAGUUUGUGGCGUGUUUGAACUUGAGAUUGUGGCGUGUUUGAACUUGAGUUUGUGGUGGUUUUUGAACUUGAGGUUGUGAAAAUUGUUAAAACUUGAGAAUCAGGUGUUGGUUGAACUUGAGUUUGGGUAUUGGUUGAACUUGAUUUUGUGCUUUGUUUGAACUUUAGUUUAUGGUUUUUUUUGUACUUGAGUUUGUGUUGUUUUUAAACUUGAGGUUGUGGAAAUUGUAAAAACUUGAGAAUCAGGUGUUGGUUGAACUUGAGUUUGUGGUUUUUGUUGAACUUGAGUUUGUGUCGUUUUUGAGCUUGAGGUUGUGGUGUUUUUGAACUUGAGUUUGCGUGUUUGUUGAACUUCAGUUUGUGUGUUUUUUUAACUUGAGUUUGUUGUUUCUGAAUUUGAGGUUGUGGCAAUUGUUGAACUUGAGUCUGUUGUUUUUAGUGAACUUUAGUUGGUGGCAAUUGUUGAACUUGAGUUUUUGGCAUUUGUUGAACUUGAGUUUGUGACGUGUUUAAACAUGAUUUUGUGGUGUUUUUGAACUCGAGUUUGUGGUGUUUUUGAACUUGAGGUUGUGGAAAUUGUUAAACUUGAGAAUUGGGUAUUGGUUGAACUUGAGUUUGUGUGUUUGUUUAACUUGAGUUUGUGUCGUGUUUGGACUUCAGUUUGUGGUGUUUUUUGGUCUUGAGGUUGUGGUGUUUUUGAACUUGAGUUUGUGGCGGUUUUUGAACUUGAGGUUGUGGCAAUUGUUGAACUUGAGUUUGUGACAUGUUUGAACUUGAUUUUGUGGUGUUUUUGAACUCGAGUUUGUGGUGUUUUUGAACUUGAGUUUGUGGUGUUUGUUGAACUUGAGUCUGUUGUUUUUAGUGAACUUUAGUUGGUGGCAAUUGUUGAACUUGAGUUUUUGGCAUUUGUUGAACUUGAGUUUGUGACGUGUUUAAACAUGAUUUUGUGGUGUUUUUGAACUCGAGUUUGUGGCAAUUGUUGAACUUGAGGUUGUGGAAAUUGUUAAACUUGAGAAUUGGGUAUUGGUUGAACUUGAGUUUGUGUGUUUGUUGAUAUUGAGUUUGUGUAGUCUUUGAACUUGAGGUUGUGGUGUUUCUUAACUUGAGUUUGUGUGUUUGUUGAACUUGAGUUUGUGUUUUUUUAACUUGAGGUUGUGGAAAUUGUUAAACUUGAGAAUUGGGUAUUGGUUCAACUUGAGUUUGUGGUUUUUGGUGAACUUGAGUUUGUGUCGUGUUUUAACUUCAGUUUGUGGUGUUUUUGAACUUGAGUUUAUGGUGUUUUCUAACUUGAGGUUGUGGAAAUAUUUAAACUUGAGAAUUGGGUAUUGGAGAGGUGAAGUCUGACAUGCCGUGUGUAGAUUUAACUGGUGUUAAGUUAACUGGUGACACUCCAAGCAGAUGUUCAAGAAGCAUGGCUUUUGAGGGCCUUUGUUUACAUUCCAUCUAUCACUCACCGUCUAACUACACACUCGUACCGAUGUAUCAAAUUAAAGGGCCUUUUGAGACAUACAUGUUAGGGAGAAUGAGUUUAUUGGGUCAAAGAUGAAGAUGCAAGCACGAAACAUGAGAAGAAUGAAAUUGGUGAUUGUGCAAAUGCCUGUUCAAAAUAUCGCCGACACCGAGUGAGAAAUUUAACAAACUUUUUCAUUGUGAGAGGAACUUAUUUCACGGUAUUUUUAUGAUCAUUAGGUGCGUGGGUAGUACUCACAGUACCACAGGUGGUGUGAAAAUGUUUGUGGGAUGCAUUUAAAUACAGCGCGAGGUCAGGUGUACUCUCCAUGUUACCUGUGUUAUCUCGUGACAGCCUAUACACCUUGCUUGUUGGUUUUAUUUAAUGUGUCUGUAGAUGUCUCCACAAUUAUGAGCCACGCUUUAAAGAAGUAGAAACGAAAUGCUUGGUGUUAACAGAGAUAUAUUACAAAUAUUUCCUCCUUUAAUGUGGAAAAGCGUCCGCUGUCACCACUCGUACUGAUCCCAGUCAACGUGAAUGAAAUCAAACCGCAGAUCGCGGCUAUCCGUUAUAGCAGACUUUAUACCCCUCAUUGUUUUCAUCACUGAUCGAUGGAUUUGGGAUAUUUUGCAAAUAAAGGGCCAUGAACACAGUGAGAAACAGACAAAAUGGUCAUAGAGAUCCUUUAAAAAUACAUGGCACAGAGACAGAAUCACUGCAGUCUCUGUCCAUGUUAACCUGUGACUGUACCUGUGGUCCUUUUACUCACUCACCUAUAGCAUGGAGACGUGGACUCUCCAUAUUUUAUCUGCAGUGGACUAAGAAUAUUCUAAUUUCUAAGUCAUCUGCAGGCUUCUGUUGCACAAUGUAUUCAAGUAUCUCAAUAAAUGAGAAUAUGUUUAUUCUUAUUUGUUGAGGAGCACCUCUACUGUAUGCUGUUAGCUUGCUUCUGUGCAGCUCACAGCUAGAACACUGCAGCAGCAUGCCUUGAUGUUGAAUUUUGUGUAUGUUGUUGCAAAGUUUUUUUUAGGGGUACAGUAUCUGUAGAGGCAAACCUCAGGCUGUGUCCGAAAUGGCAUACUGCCUACUGUCUACUUAACUACUCAAGCAGUACAUACUGCAUACUGCAUACUCAAAGAUGAUUUGAGUAUGCCGCAGCUGACCGAGCGUUUACACACAUGCAUACUUAAUACCCCAGAAUGCAUUUCGUGCCAGCCAGAAGCAGCGCCGGGAAAAUUUAAAUAGUCCUACCGCAAGCUUCAAAAACGACUGCAUUUCGGACAAACUGUAUAAAUUCAGUCAGUCAAAACAUUUUUUCAAGCGAGAAAGUAAGUGUUUACAUCACGAGCCCAGUUGAGCCCAGUUGUUUGAAAUAGCGGCUGUUUGCAAAUUUGUCUCUGCGUUUUCGGAGACCGAAGCAUCCGCCUGAUGGGUGUUUGCGUCAGGGCCGGAUUAUGGGGGGUCUGGGCCCCGGGGCCGGGAGUUUGCAAAGCACCCCCCACCCCCCCCACCCCUUCCUUCUUGCAAAGUCGUCCACUAACUCAUCAAAGUUGAGCUGUCGAACAAACUCUGAUUCUAUUGCAAGAAGGGAGAGUGAAUUCAACCCAUUUUGGCACAUUCUCAUCCUGAGCUCAUUUUUUAUUCGAGCCAGUCUGGAGAAUGACCGUUACCCUUCACAGUUUGUUAUUGGCAGGGUCAAAAACAGUCUGAGUGCUAUGUAAACUUUUUGGAAAGCAUUUUUGUUCUUCUGAAAUGAAUGAUUUGUACUGAACAAGUUCAUCUGCCAAGCUCAUGGUCAGAUCAGUGGGAUAUGCUGCAGCAAGAGAUUCUGCCCUUAAAGUGAGCUCACUGUUGGACAUAUUAUCAGGCAUGAAAAGAACAUGAAAAGGAUUGGUCAAGUGUGUGUAUCAAGUUAACCGAUGGUUAAGACAGGACACAAGUUUGUCAAAUAGAACACUGAACGUUUCAAUCUGAAAUUGUUCUUUUCCACUAAAUUCAACACCUGGUUCUGCACUUUCAUCAGCCAUACAUUUGCGCUUCUUUGUGCGCUGGAGGUCAUGUCUGUAGUCUUGGGAGACUGAGUCGGUAACAGUUAAAGCUGACCCUUCAAAAAAGGCAAAAUUGUCUCUCUGUGCUGCCACAAAGUCAUAAAGUGAAAGGAGAAGCUGCGUAGCUGUGUGUAUGUCAAUGUCAUGUUUCUGCAACUGCAGGCUCGUGGCUCGGAACUGCUGUACUAUUGGAUCCCAAAAGUGUGCCAUGAAAGCUAUCUCUAGGGUGUCCAGCUUGCCACAGAGUGCAGAGGCCUCGCUUCUAGUUUCACGUUUCUCCUGUGAGUCAUUGGAAAUAUUGUUCAAUGCCUCUCUCAAUUGUGUAAUAAUAUAUAAUAUAUAAUGCAUAAUAAUGCAUUUCUCAAUUAUUUGAACAAAAACUUAUUCAAACCUUUCUGAUACUUAAAAAAUUUCUAAUACUUGAGGAUUUUUAAUUAUCAAACUUUUCCCUGUUUAAAAUAGUUUUAGUAUUUAUGCAUUAUUCACCCCUUAAACAAAAUCCCACUUCUUCUACUACAACUCCUGCUAAUAUCAAUUAAACCAGUACUUUGACUUCUAUUUCAACUACUAUUGCUACUAUUUCUACUUUCUCUACUGCUAUUUCUACCACUAGCUCUACUACUUUGACUUCUCCUAUUCUCCAACUAUUUCUACUGCUUACAUGACUACUAAUAUCACUACAGGACUACUAAUAUCACUACUAUGACUACUUAUCAUGCUACCACUAGAACAACAAAUAAAACUUAUGCCACCUCUCACCUUCCUGCCUUUUAAGGUAAUUUACUUCUUCAUUCAAACUUUGUGCAAUUUCAGUCAUUUUUCUGGCCUCUUUCAGCAUGAAUAAAAUUUCAAUUCAUGGAGCAUAUUCAUACUGUUUGUCCUUCAACCAUUUUCAUAAUUAUUUAACUUAUAUUUCUUUUUCACUGGCCUCUUUCAGCAUGAACAAAAUUUCAAUUCAUGGAGCAUAUUCAUACUGUUUGUCCUUCAACCAUUUUCACAAUUAUUCAACUUAUACUUCUUUUUCACCCCUUCAACAGCUUUUACAUUAAUAUCUUUCUCAGUGUUCUAUUAGCAGUUUAGCAUUGCUUUUUCAGGUUUCAGCACUCAGCAUUUCCACGCAUUUUCUGCAAGGAAAUGCAUUUUUUCUCGUUCCACUUAGACUUCCAGAUUUGUUACAAUAGCCCUUACAAUGGCUUUAAGUCUAGUUAAGGUACACUAUUAUUACAAUACAAUACAAUGUAAAUGUCAAUGAGCUUUUUAAUAGGGUGUUGGAUGCUAAAUCUGAUAGUCUAGGAAAGGUUUUAAUGUAAGAAUGUUGUUAGGAGUUUUGAUAAAUGGAUUUAACAAUAUUGGAUUUUCAAUUAAACUAUCAAAAUUUCUGCCAUGUGAGGAGUUUUGAUAAAAGCAAUGCCAAGUGUAAUGUGGGAGUGUUGUAUUGAUAUUGGAUUUUCACUUGGACUUCACUUGGUUGGCAUUGGUGUUUACAGUACACCCCUUUACGGUGGGAACAUAAGGAAGCGAAAUCUGCAAAGUGAAGCGGGGCGAAACUCAGUGUUCUGAAGGUGAAUAUCUACCAGUCUACUACUCUC